UAUCAGUUACGAGCUAUUCAUUUAACAAACAAAACCACAAAAGUUAAAAAAUGUUCUCCAAAAUCGUUGUCUUCUUCGCUAUCUUGGCUGUAUCCUUUGCUGUACCAGCCCCUGAAGCCAAAGCUGAACCAAAACCAGAAGCUAACCCCGCUUUGUUGGUGGACAGUGCUCCCUUAGUAGCUGCAGCGCCUGUAGCUUACACUGCAGCCUACAGCGCUCCUUUAACUUAUGCUGCUGCUCCACUUGCCUACAGUGCCUAUCCUGCUUAUACAGCCUAUGCUUCUCCUUAUGUAGCAACAGUUUUUUAAGAUGUUUUUGUAUAUUAAAAUAAUAAAUAAUUAAUUCCAAAAUA